ACAUAGGAAACAAUGUGAGCGUUAAUUUCAUUCUGCAAGUGCUGCUUACGCACAGAAAGCCAGGCAAAUCGCAGCAAGAUGCAGCAUCUGGAGCCAGUCAGUAAACUGGAACACCUGAGCUAACACAGAGAGAAGGGGCAGCAGGUGAGGCUGGAGACAAGCUAACCUGUUUUCUGACAUGCUCAUUGGAAGGAAGGGAAAGAGACGGCUUUUCUUUUAUCCUUUUGUGGGUUGGUGCAAAAGGGCUUGUUUGUACAGGCAAGGCAAACAAAGGGGAACUCUGGACUAAAGUGUGGGUGACAGGUGCUGGAAACAUGUACUAGCAGCCUGGCUGCUUCAGGCUAUAGAAUCACCUGUAGAAUAGCUCUGCUGGGGAAACAAGAGUAACCAAGGACAGCAGUGAAACUGAAGUAACUCAGUCAAGGUGGCCGGUAGCCGUUAAACCAACACUCAUUUCCUUCUGGUGACUCGGGGCCCAACCUUGCAAAGCCUUAGGUUUGGAGAGCUGAACCGCCGGAAUGAAGAUGAAGCAGCUGGGAAUGGUGUGCUGUGCAAAUCAUCUUAACAAACCAAUUCUAAUUUGUAGCUGUUGCUUUCCACGUUUUUCUGUAACCUGAACCAUGAAAUGAAUCUUCAUAAAGUUUUUCACAAGCUGAAAAUUUACAGAAUUUAUACUAGUUAGACAAGGGGCCACUACAUUUCUUUUCACCUUUUAAAACAAGUUAGGAGUCACUAGGUGAAUUUUUGUGUUCACAAAGAUGAAGGAUUAUAGCUCCUGGCCAAUCAGCUAUAGAAUAGUCAAGCAGGUCACAAAAUUUCCCCAUGGAGAUCUGCUAAUGUACCUCAAUCUUGAUCUGACACUCCUCUGCUGUACACGCCCUGGCCUGCUCCCACACACUGGCUCCAUCUAGACCUAAUGUGCCACCUACUAUUCUGGUUCUGAGCUUCUGAUCAGAGAUCAAGUCACGCCCAAUUGUCCCUCACUGGGUGCUGCUUUUGUGAGAUGGAUAAAUGCUCAUCAGGGACCAGGUUGGAGCCACCAAACACAUUUUACCUGUGACCUACAAUUACCUAUUCUGUGUUUGUACAGCAUGUAGCACCGUGUGGUCCUGGUCCUUGACUGGAGCUUCUAGUUGCUAUGGUAAUAUAAAUGAUAAUAAGUCACGCUGGAAUCCAGACCACCAGAGGUUAAAGAUCAAUACAGCGGUUGUUGAACGUUUUCAUAGGGUCAACCAGCUCUGGAGAGAGCCACUGUCUCAUAGACCCACCUCCCCUCUCCACUUUGAGAUCAGAUGGGUCACUGUUCCCAUUCUCAGCUGCGGAAUGUUCUGUGGCAAGUGGGCAGCAUUUGCAGACUCCCACCAGUUCACAGAACGCCCUUCAGGAGGCCCUGGGACUAAGAACCUCUGGAUUGUUGUUGUGCUUACC